UACGGAAGGGGGCUAGCGUUGUUCGGAAUCACUGGGCGUAAAGCGCACGUAGGCGGAUCUUUAAGUCAGGGGUGAAAUCCCGAGGCUCAACCUCGGAACUGCCUUUGAUACUGGGGAUCUCGAGUCCGGGAGAGGUGAGUGGAACUGCGAGUGUAGAGGUGAAAUUCGUAGAUAUUCGCAAGAACACCAGUGGCGAAGGCGGCUCACUGGCCCGGAACUGACGCUGAGGUGCGAAAGCGUGGGGAGCAAAGCAGGG
rnacentral:rRNA from 1 species